GGGCUCGUGGUUUAGUGGUAUAAUACUCCCUUAGCAUGAUUUAUUAAAAUUGGGAGUGGUCCGGGGUUCGAUUCCCCGCGAGUCCA
rnacentral:tRNA from 1 species